rnacentral:tmRNA from 1 species
GGGGUUGACUGGACUUGACAGCGGGCAGAGUUGGUAUGUAAGCAUGCAGUGCGCUGGUGGCUAGCACUAUAAUCUGGAGACCAACAAUUUAGCUGACGAAAACAAUUUCGCUCUCGCUGCCUAACUGAAUCACAGUAAGUUUGGCUUAAUCCCGGCAUUAGAUGCUGGGACGGGACUUCUCCCAGGCACCCAAGCCCUGAGGUAACCUGAUACGGAGGAGCAGACAAUUCGGGGAUAGCCAUGGUCGGCCUCGCAACUAUGGUGAGAUUUAGAGGAUAAGGCGGCAGUUGGUGGCUCAGGUCUUGCUGACGCACGAAAACCUAAGGCUGAGAUAAGCAUGUAGAAAGCGUAUGAGCUCCUCGUUUGGACGAGGGUUCGAAUCCCUCCAGCUCCACAU